rnacentral:rRNA from 1 species
AUUGAACGCUGGCGGCAGGCCUAACACAUGCAAGUCGAGCGAGUGGCGGACGGGUGAGUAAUGUCUGGGGAUCUGCCUGAUGGAGGGGGAUAACUACUGGAAACGGUAGCUAAUACCGCAUACCAUCGGAUGUGCCCAGAUGGGAUUAGCUUGUAGGUGGGGUAACGGCUCACCUAGGCGACGAUCCCUAGCUGGUCUGAGAGGAUGAUCAGCCACACUGGAACUGAGACACGGGCCAGACUCCUCCGGGAGGCAGCAGUGGGGAAUAUUGCACAAUGGGCGCAAGCCUGAUGCAGCCAUGCCGCGUGUAUGAAGAAGGCCUUCGGGUUGUAAAGUACUUUCAGUCGGGAGGCGUUACCCACAGAAGAAGCACCGGCUAACUCCGUGCCAGCAGCCGCGGUAAUUC